AGCUAAGAUGGUCACUGCAGUUCAUGGAGGUCAAGAUCAUCAAAUUAAGUCACCAUUCCUAACCAAAAAGGACGACCUAGUCACCUAUCAGCUCCUAUUCGGAACCAUGCCCCUAAAACCGACAUACAUUCAGCUCCAGAUGGCAGAUGAGAUAUUCCGAAAGGUUGAAGACAAGUACGAUCCACCCAUCAUUCAUAGGAGACCGUUCCUCAGCACC
rnacentral:lncRNA from 1 species